UUGGGCCAUGGGGUAAGGAAGGGAAAGGAUACUUUUGUCCUAAAAAACUGGUGGAAAAUACUCUACAAGCUGUGGAUUUGGUGCAUCAUUUGUUGGAUUUAAAGACAUAAAGACGACUAACCGAGGUUUUUACCAAUUGUUGUUGAGUCACUGCUUGGUCAUGAUAUCACAAUGAUAGCCUGUGAAGGAUCACACGCAAUAGCACUUAACAGUAAGGGUCAAGUUUUUUCGUGGGGCACAAGUCCUCAAGCUUGUCUUGGUCAUGGUAACUUUAGAGACAGGUACUCUCCAUUAAUGAUUGAUAGACCACUGAGAGAUGUUAAUGUGGUUCAUGUGGCCUGCUAUGAGAAUCAUUGAGCAGUUAUAUCAGGAUAGUCCAGGUUGCUUGUGGCAGGUCAUAUACUAGUUAUUGAUGAAGAAGGAAGAGUCUAUUCUUUUGGUAUUAAUAAAUUUGAAGAGUUAAGGCCGAGGACACGAUGAAGCUAUAACCAAGCCCACAAUGGUGGCCAACCUGGUCUAGCUCCAUUUGUAAAGUAUCCUGUGGCCGAUAUCAUUCUGCUUCUAUGGAUGAGGAUGCCGUAUUGUUUAUGUGGGGCUGGGGAGCAAGAAGCCAGCUGGGACAAGAUGAACAAAAGUCACUGUUGAGUCCUACUCCUGUUAAUGGAUUUAAUGAGCAACCUCUGGAGGAUGUGAGUUGUAGUUAUGGUCACACUGCAGCUAUUACUGCCAACGAUGUUGCUUACUGUUGGGAUGACAAUGCUAGAGGUCAGUGAGGAGUACCCUCUAGUGUUUAUAGUGAACUCUCCAGUCCUCGUGGUAUUGUUCUUCCCUCUGGGAUAAGACCCACUCAGAUCAACUGUGGAGCUAAUUUCACUGUACUCAUUACUUCAAUAGGACAGCUCUUCAUGUGAGGCUAUAUCAUGAGUGGACAGUUGGAGGAUGGAGAGGCCAAGAAAACCUUAGAAAUGCGUACAUAAUCUACAGAUUGUCUCUUCCUUCUUUAUACGAUGUAUUCAACACAUCAGUUAUACUUAAUCUACAUUAUUAUCUCUCUAUAUGUAUAUGUGCAGGCAUUAAGCAUGGGCUUCAGGCAGAUCAUGAGACAUCAUUAUACUGACUGUAUUUAUAAAUGAAUAUUCAUCUCCUCUAUUUUCUCCUUUUCUCAUCUGUAUUGCUCUUUAUCUCUUAUUUAUUGUCAUUGAGUGCAUUUGUAUACUGUA